CAGAGGAGCGUCACAUGUUGUGAACUAUGAGACGAUCGUUUAUCAGUUUAAAAUGUUAAAUAAAAAUAAAAAAACUGGUGCUUUAAUAACCAAUUUCCUCUGUUCUCAGGCUGCCUCCUCAUAGAAGACAACUUCUCCAUGAGAUGUCCAGAGCACAAACUCAAAUCGUUCACGCCCAGGAGAGUCAGAAGGUGACGUUAAAGACGUGUGGAGGCUCCAGAGGUCGUACCAUUAGUCACUGUUACAGAAGAAAACAGACUGAUGAAGGGUUCUGUCCCAGGUUGGGUUCAGAUCUAAUGCACAUGUGCGUGCCAGGGAUUGUGUUCUCCCACUUCCUGGUUGGUUCCUCACACACAGAAAAGGUUCCUCAUCCUAAACAGGAAGUCUCUCUCUUUCUGCCAACCACAGUUCUUGCUUUUUCACACUUUUGUACGACUUUUUCUGACGCUGUUAUGUAAAUCGUUCCCACUUUGGGUUCACUUUACGUCUGGUGUUACGUCCCGUCUGUGUUUCUCUGAUGAGAUGAGCUAAAGUUAGCGCUACGGCUACGCUCAGCACUUUGUUUGAAGUGUAGAUUUUGUAUAAAGUGAAUAUAAUUUAUGGCUGAGCUGUGUUUGUGUCUGCUGCUGCUGUGCUUCCUGUUGAGCUUCAAAGGGAAGUGGGAUUAUUAAAGAUUUGUUUUAAACAAAAUCACGAAUCAGACGCUUUUUAUUUUACCUGAACUAAUAAUGAAUAGGA
rnacentral:lncRNA from 1 species